UACAGAGGUCCCAAGCGUUGUUCGGAUUCACUGGGCGUAAAGGGUGCGUAGGUGGCCAGGUAAGUUCGGUGUGAAAGCUCGGAGCUUAACUCCGAAAUGGCAUUGAAUACUAUCUGGCUAGAGGGUCGGAGGGGAGACUGGAAUUCCGCGUGUAGCAGUGAAAUGCGUAGAUAUGCGGAGGAACACCGAUGGCGAAGGCAAUCCCCUGGGCCUGCACUGACGCUCAUGCACGAAAGCGUGGGGAGCAAACAGG
rnacentral:rRNA from 1 species